UUAAACAUCUAUGUCUUCUAGGCAUAGCCAGUCCCAUGGGUAUGAAACCCAAUUGAGCGAGAGUAGUACUAGGAUGGGUGACCUCCUGGGAAGUCCUCAUGAAAGGGUUUCAU
rfam:Triticum aestivum genome assembly, contig: Triticum_aestivum_CS42_TGACv1_scaffold_159512_2DL